rnacentral:rRNA from 1 species
UACGGAGGGUGCAAGCGUUAUCCGGAUUUACUGGGUUUAAAGGGUGCGUAGGCGGGUCUGUAAGUCAGUGGUGAAAUCUCCGAGCUUAACUCGGAAACUGCCAUUGAUACUAUAGGUCUUGAAUUAUCUGGAGGUAAGCGGAAUAUGUCAUGUAGCGGUGAAAUGCUUAGAUAUGACACAGAACACCGAUUGCGAAGGCAGCUCACUAAAUUGUAACUGACGCUGAGGCACGAAAGCGUGGGGAGCAAACAGG